UUAUUAUUAUCACUUUAAGGUUUCUCCUCAGUACAAAUGUCAAGUCCUUUUGUCCAGCGAGUGUGAGACGACAAACGCUGAGGAAAAUUCCUAGAGAUUUGUUGGGAGUCUGGGGGCCAAGUCUUGGGAUACCACCCUGGAGUGAGAAGCCAAUCAAAGAGAAUCCAGACCAGAGAAACUGAGGCAGCCAGUGCCAGACACAGGUGUGGAGCCUUCAGUGAAGUCAGUCGCCUGGAACAAUGACUACCAGCAGAAAUGGCAAAGCCAGAUUGGAACCUAUAUCUGUCUGUGGGUCUGGUACCAGGAAUGCACCACCCCUUUUCAAAAACAAC